UACAGAGGUCUCAAGCGUUGUUCGGAUUCAUUGGGCGUAAAGGGUGCGUAGGCGGCGCGGUAAGUCGGGUGUGAAAUCUCGGAGCUUAACUCCGAAACUGCAUUCGAUACUGCCGUGCUUGAGGACUGGAGAGGAGACUGGAAUUUACAGUGUAGCGGUGAAAUGCGUAGAUAUCGGGAGGAACGCCGGUGGCGAAAGCGACUGUCUGGGGUGCCUGUGACGCUGAGGCGCGAAAGCCAGGGGAUCAAACGGG
rnacentral:rRNA from 1 species